rnacentral:misc_RNA from 1 species
GCAGGGUGACCCAGAGCGUCCCCUGGCGUCUGCCGGAGGCAGAGCCGUACUCCUCGCGAUCACGGACCANCGGCGGUUGGAGUGGGGCCAAAAGGGUGCUCGGACGGUAUGUCGGGUCGGGUUCGCUCGCUCGACAACUUAUAGACUGGCUUCCCGGCGCUCCACUCCGACCGAGGAAGGAGGGCAGCUCUUGCCCGGUGUGGUGCACGCCGUAUGGCGGGGCCUCCCGUCGGGGGCGAGCCGUGCUGGGUGGACUGCGUGCAGUGCUCACUGUCACGGCGGACCCAAGGUCGGAGAGCGUCACUUGUGCACCAGUGCUGCUGGUAUUCGGAC